rnacentral:ncRNA from 1 species
CAUCGCGAGGUGGAAUCUGAAGGAAGUCGGCAGCAAAACCUUGGUCUGAGGUACACGAAUCACAUUUGAGGCUUAGCUCUAUGGGUGAACUUGCAAUACAAAGUGAAGCCCUAAACUAUCCGAAAUAGAGGAAGUAAAUGUGGCAGAUAUAUGAGGUGAAAGUACGU